UCUGUUUUCUUUUUCUACAUCAGCGUUCAUUGUUUGAUUCUAUUCCAUAAAACUUGGAAAUAAUCACCAAGGUUGAAACAUUAAUGUAACGGAAACUUGAUGAGUUCUCUUGGGCAUUUAACUUAUUCAUAAGAGAGGUAAAAGGCUUAACCAACAAAAUUUUAGGGCCUGCGGACUUCCACGCCAGUUGUGAACACGUUGCAAGAAAGUUGGAAUGACAAUGAGUUAAGCACACUGCGGUGCAGUUGCAGGUCUUAAGAGACCAUGCUAAGAAUUUGGGGAAAACC
rnacentral:lncRNA from 1 species